AUCGGUAGAGACAACCGGGAUUACCUCAGUAACGGCGAGUGAAGCGGUAAUAGCUCAAAUUUGAAAUCUGGCUUCGGUCCGAGUUGUAAUUUGUAGAAGAUGCUUCGGGUGUGGCUCCGGUCUAAGUUCCUUGGAACAGGACGUCAUAGAGGGUGAGAAUCCCGUAUGUGACUGGGUGCCUUCGCCUAUGUGAAGCUCUUUCGACGAGUCGAGUUGUUUGGGAAUGCAGCUCAAAAUGGGUGGUAUAUUUCAUCUAAAGCUAAAUAUUGGCCAGAGACCGAUAGCGCACAAGUAGAGUGAUCGAAAGAUGAAAAGCACUUUGGAAAGAGAGUUAAACAGUACGUGAAAUUGUUGAAAGGGAAGCGUUUGCAAUCAGACUUGCACGUUGCCGAUCAUCUGGUGUUCUCACCAGUGCACUCGGUUUCGUUCAGGCCAGCAUCGGUUUGGGUGGUUGGAUAAAGGCCUUGGGAAUGUGGCUCCUUUCGGGGAGUGUUAUAGCCCUCGGUGCAAUGCAGCCUACCUGGACCGAGGACCGCGCUUCGGCUAGGAUGCUGGCGUAAUGAUUGUAAACGACCCGUCUUGAAACACGGACCAAGGAGUCUAACAUCUAUGCGAGUAUUUGGGUGUUAAACCCAUAUGCGUAAUUAACGUGAACGGAGGUAAGAGCCCUUAAGGGUGCAUUAUCGACCGGUCCUGAUGUCUUCGGAAGGAUCUGAGUAAGAGCAUAGCUGUUGGGACCCGAAAGAUGGUGAACUAUGCCUGAAUAGGGUGAAGCCAGAGGAAACUCUGGUGGAGGCUCGCAGCGGUUCUGACGUGCAAAUCGAUCGUCAAAUUUGGGUAUAGGGGCGAAAGACUAAUCGAACCAUCUAGUAGCUGGUUCCUGCCGAGUCCCUCCCCUCAGGAUA
rnacentral:rRNA from 1 species